rnacentral:misc_RNA from 1 species
UAUCCGUUGGUGAACCAGCGGAGGGAUCAUUACAGGACUCGCAAGACUCCUACAACCCUGUGAACUUAACUAUAAGCACGUUGCUUCGGCGGGUGUCUCGGAGGGGGUUCUCCCUCCCCGAGACGCUAAACCCGCCGACAGCCUACUAUACUCUGUCUCUUUGCGUUGGCAUCUCGAGUACAAUCAAACAAGUUAAAGCUUUCAACAACGGAUCUCUUGGUUCUG